GUUUAUUUUGCAUUUUCUAAAAUAUUUCAAUAGUAAUUUGCAUAAUAAUACAAAAAAAUAUAUUUGAAAUUAUAAUUUCCAAUUAUAUUGAAUGCCGACAGACGCAGCGUACUGUUAAGAACAAGGACACAAAGGGUGUCGCCGAAUGCCUACAAACCAGGAGUCGCGGAGACAAUUAUAUUCGCGUCUGAACAAUGAAUAACAUUUUUUACAAGAGAGUAACGCGCCAAGAAAGAGAGCGUUUAGUGAGGAAUAACUACUGAAUAAUAUAUACCUUUAUUUCAGAAAAUUGUAAAUUAAAUUUUAUGAAGCUAGUACCUGCAGAAAAAAUUUAAAUGGCUCGUUUUAUUUAAACUCGUGCAUUUGAAAUAUUUACCACUAUACAAACAUAAUCCGAAACCUUAGAACAACAAUGUACUCAGUUAUAAAUGAAUAUUAUAGCAUCGCAGCUCAUGAACCCAAUACUCUGAAGCCUCUUUACUUUCCCUAUAGAAAAUUGUAAAUUAAAUUUAAAUAAACCUGGUACCUGCUGAAAAAUCGUUUCUCGUUUAUUUAAACUCGUGCAUAUAAAAUAUAUACCACUAUCCAAACAUAAUCCGAAACCUUAGAACAACAAUGUACUCAGUUAUAAAUGAAUAUUAUCGCAUCGCAGCUCAUGAACCUAACACUAUGAAACAUUUUAGAAAUUCAUCUACUCGAAACUACUAUAGAAGCCGUUUAAUAAAAUGUCUUUAAUAAAAAUAUGUAUAUAA